rnacentral:rRNA from 1 species
UACAGAGGGGGCAAGCGUUAUUCGGAAUUAUUGGGCGUAAAGGGCGCGUAGGCGGCUUGGCAAGUGGGUGGUGAAAUCCCUCGGCUUAACCGAGGAACUGCCGUCCAAACUGCUUCGCUUGAGACCAGGAGAGGUGAGUGGAAUUCCCAGUGUAGCGGUGAAAUGCGUAGAUAUUGGGAGGAACACCAGUGGCGAAGGCGGCUCACUGGACUGGUACUGACGCUGAUGCGCGAAAGCGUGGGGAGCAAACGGG